CUGGUACGGACAAGGGGAAUC
rnacentral:snRNA from 1 species